CGACUCUCGGCAACGGAUAUCUCGGCUCUCGCAUCGAUGAAGAACGYAGCGAAAUGCGAUACUUGGUGUGAAUUGCAGAAUCCCGUGAACCAUCGAGUCUUUGAACGCAAGUUGCGCCCGAAGCCUUUAGGCCGAGGGCACGUCUGCCUGGGCGUCACA
rnacentral:rRNA from 1 species